GCAAAAAUCACUGAAGCUGGAGACUCAUAUCUCCCUCACUAGCUUUAAGCACCAGCUGUCAGAGCAGCUCACAGAUCACUGCACCUGUACAUAGCCCAUCUGUAAACAGCCCAUCUAUCUACCUACCUCGUCUCCAUACUGUAUUUAUUUAUUUAUUUUGCUCCUUUGCACCCCAGUAUCUCUACUUGCACAUUCAUCUUCUGCACAUCUACCAUUCCAGUGUUUAAUUGCUCUAUUGUAAUUACUUCGCCACCAUGGCCUAUUUAUUGCCUUACCUCUCUUAUCUUACCUCAUUUGCAUAUGCUGUAUAUAGAUUUUUCUACUGUAUUAUUGACUGUAUGUUUGUUUAUUCCGUGUGUAACUCUGUUGUUGUUUGUGUCGAACUGCUUUGCUUUAUCUUGGCCAGAUCACAGUUGUAAAUGAGAACUUGUUCUCAACUUGCCUACCUGGUUAAAUAAAGGUGAUCUGGCCUACCUGGUUAAAUAAAGGUGAUCUGGCCUACCUGGUUAAAUAAAGGUGAUCUGGCCCACCUGGCUAAAUAAAGGUGAUCUGGCCUACCUGGCUAAAUAAACGUGAUCUGGCCUACCUGGCUAAAUAUAGGUGAUCUGGCCUACCUGGCUAAAUAAACGUGAUCUGGCCUACCUGGCUAAAUAAAGGUGAAAUAAAAAACAAGUAAAAAAUGUGUAUCAUCACAAUAUUAGGAAGGUGUUCCUAAUGUUUGGUAUACUGAGUGUAUAUUCCCUACAUAGUGCACUACUUUAACCAGGGUAGGGAAUAGGGUGCCAUUAGGGACACAUAUUCUGUUAGCAGAGGAAUGCUGCAUGAGGCUCUCUGCCCUGAUAACCAUUUGCACUAACAAUCUCACAAUAUGAAACAUAAUUGUCCAAUACUGUCAACUUUCUAACCCUGUCUCCUCUUCCUCUCUAUCACUGUCUCUUCUCCUCUUCCUCUAUCCCUGUCUCCUCUCCUCUCCCUCUCUAUCCCUGUCCCUUCUCCUCUCCCUCGCUAUCCCUGUCUCCUCUCCUCUCCCUCUCUAUCCCUG
ensembl:lncRNA